rnacentral:lncRNA from 1 species
AUGGAGGCCACCGGAGACAGCCUAGCGGGUCAGUGCGAGCGCCGUGGCCCGGUUGGCUGGGCGACGCCCCGCCCCCGCCAGCCCACCGCUCCCAUUGGCGCCUCGGGGGGACAGGCCAGCUCUCAUUGGCCGGCGAGGUGUCGCUCCCGGUGUCUCCGCUCCGGGGCCCGGGGAACUAUUUUACAUUGGGCGGAGGGAGGGAGGGGGCUCGGUCCGGUCGCUCCGGGAGCGGCACCAGCGGCGGGCCCGGGCCGGGGAUGCUGGGAUGCUGCGGGCGCUGCCCCCGCCGGGACGGCGCUGAGGCGCUGCUGCCCCCGCCGGGACGGCGCAGCGCAGUUAGUACUCGGAAUACUUGAAGACUACACUCAUGCAAACUUCAUGCCUUUGAAGGUCUCUAAAUUUACUGCAAAUGGAAAUAUAUCAUUAAGUAAUCAUGUCCACAAGUCAAAGAAGGAAUCUAGCAAGUUCAAAUUGAGGUAUAUUCUCAAGACAAGACACAGUGACUCAUUUGCUUUUCUGGGUAAGAAAGGUAUCUUUAUUCUCUUGAGUGUGACAAAAAGUAGUUAACCUUUUAAAUUUAACUUUUGAAAAGUACAGUCUGUCAAGCCAAUAUGCUGGGGGGUUGUGGGUGGAAUGUUUUGUUGAUUUUUAUUUGUUCUUGAAGUUUUUUGGGCAUGUGUAGAGAACUUUGCACCCGUCUAACAGUCUUAAGAUAUUUUAGACUAGUAGUGCAGAGGAAGAGCAAUAAAGAGCAGUUUCAGAAUAAAAGACA